rnacentral:rRNA from 1 species
UGUGAAGUUCCUCCUACAGUCAAGAAUUUUGCUUGGCGUCUAUGCACAAAUUCCCUACCAACAUGGCAAAACAAGCACCGUAGGGGUCUUGAGACAAUGCCCAUAUGUCCAAUUUGUGGCAAAGGAAUUGAGGACAACUACCAUCCUUUUUGUGUUUGUCCAAAUUCAGUUGAGCUGUGGAAGGAGAUGGCAAAUGUGUGGCGGCUUCCUGCAAUUGAAUCAAUAAAAAACAUUGGAGUUGAGUGGCUAUUUCAAGCUCUGGAAGUGUUGCCAGACACUGAUCGAGCCAUGCUACUGAUGCUUCUUUGGAGAUGUUGGCAUGUACGAAAUGAGAUUGUUCAUGACAAGUGUCCACCACUGAUAGAGGGAAUUGUUCUCGUGUCGGGGAGC